rnacentral:lncRNA from 1 species
GAGAGAUAAUCGAAUUUAUUUCUGUUCAACGAAGCUUCCUCGAUUAUUAAGUAACACAUACUCAAAAAUAAAAUAAAAAGUACAUACGUAGUCUAGGAAAUAUAAGGGCAAGGGCAACGACGGCUUAUUCGUCCGUUCCUCCCAUUAAAAAAAACAAAAAACAAAAAAUGAAAAAGAAAAUUUGGACGUAUCCAUAAUCGCGACCGUUCUUCGCUUUUUUCUUCAUUAAUCGCGGACCCCAUUAACACGUGGUGGCCCACAAAUAGUUUUUUUUUUUUUUUAAAGCUAAAACUAAAAAAAAAAAAAAAUUCUGCUGGAGGACGUAAAACGGAUGCACACGCUCUAAGACCAUCUUAAUUUGGGACUCUAUAUUAUAAAAGGAUAAAAGAUAGGGAAGGCCCGAUCAAGUUAUAGAAUAGGUAAAGCCUAAAGGUAGGAAUGAGUCAUAUGGGCCGGGAAUGAGUGAAGAAGACAAUACAAUCUUAAUUAUUCUGUUUUUUUGAUAAAUCCAAAAGGAUCCAAUAUUACGGGGAAUGAUAUAUGUAUAUUACGUUACAAAAAUAUUACAAUUCAUAAAAUUUAAAAGAGUGUGAAGGGUAUUCGUGUAAAGAAUCCAGUGAUAUUCUGAAAUCUGAAUCAUCUGAUCCAAGCAUGACUAAGUCUAUAAUUAAGUUAGGAAAUUACUAAAAUAGUGACAAAACUUUCUAAAAAAAAAAAAAAGAGAGAAUCGAAAGAUGGGAAAAAGGUUAAAUACUGUUAGCAAAUUGAUGAAUUCACGAACUACACCAAUACGAC